rnacentral:rRNA from 1 species
AUACGUAGGUGGCGAGCGUUGUCCGGAAUUACUGGGCGUAAAGGGUGCGUAGGCGGCAGAUAAAGUCCGAUGUGAAAACCCAGGGCUCAACCAUGGGAUUGCAUUGGUAACUAACCUGCUAGAGUACAGGAGAGGGGAGCGGAAUUCCUAGUGUAGCGGUGAAAUGCGUAGAUAUUAGGAAGAACACCAGUGGCGAAGGCGGCUUUCUGGACUGAUACUGACGCUGAUGCACGAAAGCGUGGGGAGCGAACAGGAUUAGAUACCCUGGUAGUCCAUGCCGUAAACGAUGAUUACUAGGUGUGGGGGGUCUGACCCCCUCCGUGCCGGAGUUAACACAAUAAGUAAUCCGCCUGGGAAGUGCGACCGCAAGGUUGAA